rnacentral:rRNA from 1 species
AGACCCGAAACCCGGUGAUCUAGCCAUGGGCAGGUUGAAGGUUGGGUAACACUAACUGGAGGACCGAACCGACUAAUGUUGAAAAAUUAGCGGAUGACCUGUGGCUGGGGGUGAAAGGCCAAUCAAACCGGGAGAUAGCUGGUUCUCCCCGAAAGCUAUUUAGGUAGCGCCUCGUGAAUUCAUCUCCGGGGGUAGAGCACUGUUUCGGCUAGGGGGCCAUCCCGGCUUACCAACCCGAUGCAAACUGCGAAUACCGGAGAAUGUUAUCACGGGAGACACACGGCGGGUGCUAACGUCCGUCGUGAAGAGGGAAACAACCCAGACCGCCAGCUAAGGUCCCAAAGUCAUGGUUAAGUGGGAAACGAUGUGGGAAGGCCCAGACAGCCAGGAUGUUGGCUUAGAAGCAGCCAUCAUUUAAAGAAAGCGUAAUAGCUCACUGGUCGAGUCGGCCUGCGCGGAAGAUGUAACGGGGCUAAACCAUGCACCGAAGCUGCGGCAGCGACACUGUGUGUUGUUGGGUAGGGGAGCGUUCUGUAAGCCUGUGAAGGUGUGUCGUGAGGCAUGCUGGAGGUAUCAGAAGUGCGAAUGCUGACAUAAGUAACGAUAAAGCGGGUGAAAAGCCCGCUCGCCGGAAGACCAAGGGUUCCUGUCCAACGUUAAUCGGGGCAGGGUGAGUCGACCCCUAAGGCGAGGCCGAAAGGCGUAGUCGAUGGGAAACGGGUUAAUAUUCCCGUACUUGGUGUUACUGCGAAGGGGGGACGGAGAAGGCUAUGUUGGCCGGGCGACGGUUGUCCCGGUUUAAGCGUGUAGGUGUGUGUUCCAGGUAAAUCCGGUUCACUUUAACACUGAGGCGUGACGACGAGGCACUACGGUGCUGAAGCAACAAAUGCCCUGCUUCCAGGAAAAGCCUCUAAGCAUCAGGUAACAUCAAAUCGUACCCCAAACCGACACAGGUGGUCAGGUAGAGAAUACCAAGGCGCUUGAGAGAACUCGGGUGAAGGAACUAGGCAAAAUGGUGCCGUAACUUCGGGAGAAGGCACGCUGACACGUAGGUGAAGUGAUUUACUCAUGGAGCUGAAGUCAGUCGAAGAUACCAGCUGGCUGCAACUGUUUAUUAAAAACACAGCACUGUGCAAACACGAAAGUGGACGUAUACGGUGUGACGCCUGCCCGGUGCCGGAAGGUUAAUUGAUGGGGUCAGCGCAAGCGAAGCUCCUGAUCGAAGCCCCGGUAAACGGCGGCCGUAACUAUAACGGUCCUAAGGUAGCGAAAUUCCUUGUCGGGUAAGUUCCGACCUGCACGAAUGGCGUAAUGAUGGCCAGGCUGUCUCCACCCGAGACUCAGUGAAAUUGAACUCGCUGUGAAGAUGCAGUGUACCCGCGGCAAGACGGAAAGACCCCGUGAACCUUUACUAUAGCUUGACACUGAACAUUGAGCCUUGAUGUGUAGGAUAGGUGGGAG